GCCAAUGUAGCUCAGUUGGUAGAGCAGCGGUUUCGUAAACCGCAGGUCAUCGGUUCAAGUCCGAUCAUUGGCUCCA
rnacentral:tRNA from 2 species